GACGUAGGGGGCCAGCGUUGUUCGGAAUUACUGGGUGUAAAGGGUUCGUAGGCGGUGUGGCAAGUCGGGAGUGAAAUCUCUGGGCUCAACCCAGAGUCUGCUUCCGAAACUGCUGUGCUUGAGUGUGGGAGAGGCGCGUGGAAUUGCGGGUGUAGCGGUGAAAUGCGUAGAUAUCUGCAGGAACACCCGUGGCGAAAGCGGCGCGCUGGACCACUACUGACGCUGAGGAACGAAAGCUAGGGGAGCAAACAGG
rnacentral:rRNA from 1 species